AACUCGAUCUCAAAUCAAGUAAGACUACCCGCUGAACUUAAGCAUAUCAAUAAGCGGAGGAAAAGAAACUAACAAGGAUUCCCCUAGUAACGGCGAGUGAAGCGGGAUGAGCUCAAAUUUAAAAUCUGGCUGGUUUACUAGUCCGAAUUGUAGUUUAUAGAAGCGUUUUCGGUGGCAGCCUGGGUAUAAAUCCUUUGGAAUAGGGUAUCAUAGAGGGUGAGAAUCCCGUCUUUGACUCAGUGCAUGCUACUAUGUGAUACGUUUUCAAAGAGUCGAGUUGUUUGGGAAUGCAGCUCAAAAUGGGUGGUAAAUUUCAUCUAAAGCUAAAUAUUGGCGAGAGACCGAUAGCGAACAAGUACCGUGAGGGAAAGAUGAAAAGAACUUUGAAAAGAGAGUUAAACAGUGCGUGAAAUUGUUGAAAGGGAAACGUUUGACACCAGUUAUGCGGGUGGAAAAUCAGUCUUUUGCAAUGGGGAGUUGUGGGCGUUCAGACCGCAAGGCUGGCGUUUGCUUCAUCUUUGUUGUAAGUGAUGCACUUUUUCAUUUGCAGGUCAACAUCAGUUUGCUUUGCUGGACAAAACCCCAAGGGAAGGUGGCAGCUUAGGCUGUGUUAUAGCCCUGGGGCGAUACAGUGGAGUGGACUGAGGUUUCGCAGUGUGUGCUCUCGGGCAAGGCUGACUGGGUGCUAUGGGAUCGUUCGGCGUACAAUGCAUGCAUUUUGCGUCGUGUCUUUUUCAUACUCGCUCAACUCGGCUCUUCCACACUUAGGAUGUUGACUUAAUGGUUUUAAACGACCCGUCUUGAAACACGGACCAAGGAGUCUAACAUAUAUGCAAGUGUUUGGGUGGCAAACCCAUGCGCGUAAUGAAAGUGAACGUAGGUGCG
rnacentral:rRNA from 1 species